rnacentral:rRNA from 1 species
GACGAACGCUGGCGGCGUGCUUAACACAUGCAAGUCGAACGGUAAGGCCCUUCGGGGUACACGAGUGGCGAACGGGUGAGUAACACGUGGGUGAUCCGCCCUGCACUUCGGGAUAAGCCUGGGAAACUGGGUCUAAUACCGGAUAGGACCCUGGGAUGCAUGUCCUGGGGUGGAAAGCUUUUGCGGUGUGGGAUGGGCCCGCGGCCUAUCAGCUUGUUGGUGGGGUGAUGGCCUACCAAGGCGACGACGGGUAGCCGGCCUGAGAGGGUGACCGGCCACAAUGGGACUGAGAUACGGCCCAGACUCCUACGGGAGGCAGCAGUGGGGAAUAUUGCACAAUGGGCGCAAGCCUGAUGCAGCGACGCCGCGUGAGGGAUGACGGCCUUCGGGUUGUAAACCUCUUUCAGCACCGACGAAGCGCAAGUGACGGUAGGUGCAGAAGAAGGACCGGCCAACUACGUGCCAGCAGCCGCCGUAA